rnacentral:lncRNA from 1 species
UUUGUUUGUUAUUUUCUUUGAAUAAGACGAUUGAAAGUUUCUGAAUAUUGUGAAGUGAAUUAUGGAAUGGAAAUGUGAUUGGUAUUAUUUGAGAAGAAGAAAGAUUGAAUGUUGAAAUCUGAUUGUAGUUCAGUAGAGAGAAUGGGUCUAUGUUUCUGUGAAACACUGUAAUGUGAAUGGUAGUUCUGUGUGAAGAAUUCCAGUGAUUGGAAUGAGGGUAAUUGUGUGCUGAAAGCUGUGAGGGCGCAGUAUUAUAGUUGGAGAUUAUGAGGGUGAAUAUAUUGGUGGAAAUAGCAGUUAUUGGUAUGACUGAAUUGCUGUAAGGAAG